UGUGAACCUGCACCUCAGAAGUCUUAAGGAUGCAUGGGUGAAUGGCUCUAAUUUUAAAAAUUCCACUUGAAGAUCAAACAGGUCAGUCAAAGGAAUUCUUCAAUCUGCUCAGAUUUUUGUCAGCAGACACACAGGUUAUGGGAAAACAAGAGGAGAUAUAAGACAGCAAAGCCACACAGAUAUACUUGAAAGGAAGAUGAGUAUUCCACUUCUGCAGUCUUCAGAAAGACCCUCAUCCUUGAGAUCUCUGUCAUCCUCCCCUAGAAGCAGUGUUCAAGGUUAGUGGGUGAACAUAAUCUUUCUGAACAUAGCCAUUUAAGUCACACUCUAUUCUCGGUUAGCAUUUUACCACCUAAGCUAUCAACUUCACUAACUUAUGACCCAUCUCAUCCUAUUUCCUCAUAAUGGUGCCUUCCUCAUUAAGAUUGUUAUGAGAAUCAAAUGUGAGGCAUGCAAAGCCUUCCUCAUAAGGCCUGGCACACAAUGAGCACCCAAUAAAUGUGGCUAUUAUUCUUUAGGAAUCAGGUUCAACUAUAAGGUUGGUCCCCCAGCACAGAAAGAGAUAGGAGCCUUGCUUAAUGACCCUUC
rnacentral:lncRNA from 1 species